GAUGAACGCUGGCGGCGUGCUUAACACAUGCAGGUCGAACGGUGAAGCAGGAGCUUGCUCUUGUGGAUCAGUGGCGAACGGGUGAGUAACACGUGAGCAACCUGCCCCUGACUCUGGGAUAAGCGCUGGAAACGGCGUCUAAUACUGGAUAUGUGAUGUGACCGCAUGGUCUGCAUCUGGAAAGAAUUUCGGUUGGGGAUGGGCUCGCGGCCUAUCAGCUUGUUGGUGAGGUAAUGGCUCACCAAGGCGUCGACGGGUAGCCGGCCUGAGAGGGUGACCGGCCACACUGGGACUGAGACACGGCCCAGACUCCUACGGGAGGCAGCAGUGGGGAAUAUUGCACAAUGGGCGGAAGCCUGAUGCAGCAACGCCGCGUGAGGGAUGACGGCCUUCGGGUUGUAAACCUCUUUCAGUAGGGAAGAAGCGAAAGUAACGGUACCUAAAGAAGAAGCACCGGCUAAUUAUGUGCCAGCCGCCGCGGUAA
rnacentral:rRNA from 1 species